rnacentral:rRNA from 1 species
AUGGUCGCCCGCGCCCGCGUCGCCGGCGCCGGGACGGGGAGGGUGGCCGCGCUGCUGUGGUUCCAGGGGGAGGCCGACACCCUCCGGCGCGAGGACGCGCUGGCGUACGCCGGCAGGAUGGAGGCGUUUGUACGGGACGUCCGCCGCGACCUCGCAUUGCCCAACCUCCUCGUCAUCCAGGUUGGGAUCGCGACGGCGCAGUGGCAGGGGAAUAAGCAGGGGAAGUGGCUGGACCUGGUGAGGAAGCAGCAGAGGGCGGUGCGGGCGCCGAACCUCAAGUACGUGGACGCCAUGGGUCUCCCCCUCGCCAACGACAUCACGCACCUCACCACGCAGGCCCAGGUCCGGCUCGGCAAGAUGCUCGCCGACGCAUACAUCGCCACGCUCUGA